GCACAUUCUAGUGUGCCAGAACGAAGCAGAUCGCGCUCGUCUGCGCCCGAGCGGCAUAGGGAUAGACAACCUAGAGGAAGAGAACAAAGUUUACGAGAAGAAGGGGAUAUCCGAAUUCUAUCAAUUAUAACAGGAUUAGAAAACAGUCAGAGGCAAAUGCAAGAAAGAAUUUUAACAUUAAUGACAGACAAAUAUAUAUAAAAUUUAGAAAGAAGCGAAGUAUUACCGACGCAAACACCUCGCACGCGAAUUUGAAACUUGAAUCAACCCGCACGAACUGGGAAUGAGGAAGCCCUCGCGCAACAUUUGUUAUCACAAGAAUACCUAGAAGGAUGGCGUGCCCCUAAAAUGACAAUAUAUGAGGGAAGCACUGAUCCAGAAGAUCACAUCCAUUUGUUC
rnacentral:lncRNA from 1 species